UACGUAGGGACCAAGCGUUGUUCGGAUUUACUGGGCGUAAAGGGCGCGUAGGCGGCGUGACAAGUCACUUGUGAAAUCUCCGGGCUUAACUCGGAACGGCCAAGUGAUACUGUCGUGCUAGAGUGCAGAAGGGGCAAUCGGAAUUCUUGGUGUAGCGGUGAAAUGCGUAGAUAUCAGGAAGAACACCCGUGGCGAAGGCGGCUCUCUGGGACGUGACUGACGCUGAGACGCGAAAGCGUGGGGAGCGAACAGG
rnacentral:rRNA from 1 species